rnacentral:rRNA from 1 species
GUUGCAGUUAAAGCUCGUAGUUGAAUUUUGGCCUUGGGUGGUUUGGUUUGGCCUUCACUGGUCAAUGCCUUUUCCGCCUAGGUCUUACCUUCUGGGUUAGCUAGUGUUGCUUCGGUGGCGCUAGUGAACCAGAACUUUUACUUUGAAAAAAUUGGAGUGUUUAAAGCAGGCUUUCAAGCUUGAACAUAUUAGCAUGGAAUAAUGAAAUAGGACUUUGGCCUUAUUUCGUUGGUUUCUAAAGCCAAAGUAAUGAUGAAUAGGGAUAGUUGGGGACAUUAGUAUUCAAUUGUCAGAGGUGAAAUUCUUGGAUUUAUUGAAGACUAACUUCUGCGAAAGCAUUUGUCAAGGAUGUUUUCAUUAAUCAAGAACGAAAGUUAGGGGAUCGAAGACGAUCAGAUACCGUCGUAGUCUUAACCAUAAACUAUGCCGACUAAGGAUCGGAUGGUGUUAUAUUUUAUAUUGACCCAUUCGGCAUUUCAGCGAAAGCCAAGUUUUUGGGUUCCGGGGGGAGUAUGGUCGCAAGGCUGAAACUUAAAGGAAUUGACGGAAGGGCACCACCAGGAGUGGAGCCUGCGGCUUAAUUUGACUCAACACGGGGAAACUCACCAGGUCCAGACAUAGUAAGGAUUGACAGAUUGAGAGCUCUUUCUUGAUUCUAUGGGGUGGGUGGUGCAUGGCCGUUCUUAGUUCGUGGAGUGAUUUGUCUGGGUUAAUUCCGAUAACGAACGAGACCUUAUUCUGCUAAAUAGCCAGCAUGACUUUGGUCGUGUUUUUUUGGCUUCUUAGAGAGACUAUCAAUGUUUAUUUGAUGGAAGUUUGAGCAAUAACAGGUCUGUGAUGCCCUUAGAUGUCUGGGCCGCACGCGCGCUACACUGAU